rnacentral:rRNA from 1 species
AUUCCAGCUCCAAUAGCGUAUAUUAAAAUUGUUGCAGUUAAAAAGCUCGUAGUUGGAUCUGCGGUUAGGGCUUGCGGUCCACCACGCGGUGGCACUGCUCGUCCCGACCUACAUCGAAUUGACCCGCGUUGCUCUUCACUGAGUGACCGGGAAGGCUCGAACGUUUACUUUGAAAAAAUUAGAGUGUUCAUAGCAGGCAGUCCGCCCGAAUAAUGUUGCAUGGAAUAAUGGAAUAGGACCUCGGUUCUAUUUUGUUGGUUUUCGGAAUUGAGGUAAUGAUUAAUAGGGACGGCCGGGGGCAUUCGUAUUACGGUGUUAGUGGUGAAAUUCUGGGAUCAUCGUAAGACGAACUACAGCGAAAGCAUUUGCCAAGAAUGUUUUCAUCA